rnacentral:rRNA from 1 species
CGGUGUGUCUAAUACAUGCAAGUCGAACGGCCUUUUAUUAGGCAGUGGCGAACGGGUGCGUAACACGUUGGUAUCUGCCCCAGACUCAGGGAUAACAUGCCGAAAGGUGUGCUAAUACCGGAUGGUCCCGCAAGGGUAAAGCUUUUGCGGUCUGGGAGGAACCUGCGGCCUAUCAGCUUGUUGGUAAGGUAACGGCUUACCAAGGCUAUGACGGGUAGCUGGUCUGAGAGGAUGAUCAGCCACAAUGGAACUGCGACACGGUCCAUACUCC